ensembl:lncRNA
AUUUCUUCAUCCUUCUGUCUCAUCUGUCUCCUCCUUUCUCAGAGGAAAAAAUGUGAGGAAAGAAAAGUAAAACAGAAAAAGACAAAGUUAAUGGAAAACUAUGUAAAACAAUGUAAGGGGACGGCAGUGUUGGGUCAGCAUUGGAAGAUCCACUCCCAAAAGUCACCAUUUUAACAGAGGAAAGGAAAAAGCCAUAUGAUCCUGUCAGUAGUUGCAGAAAAAGUAUUGGACUAAAUUCUACACCUGUUCAUGGUAAAAGCUAUCAGGAGACGAGAAGUAGAACAGAAACUUCUCAACAAAUAAAAGACAUGUACUCCAUACUUCCAGCAAAAAUGCCUUAUAUGAAUGGAGAAGAUACAAUACUUUCUCCCUAAGAUAAAUGCAAAUCACUAAGCUAAAAACAAGCCCAGCUCAGGAAAGAUAAUCAAUGCAAGAAGAAAACAAAGCAGAUCUUUCACAUGGCAGAAAUAAAGGGUGC